rnacentral:rRNA from 1 species
AUUGAACGCUGGCGGCAUGCCUUACACAUGCAAGUCGAACGGUAACAGGUCUUCGGAUGCUGACGAGUGGCGAACGGGUGAGUAAUACAUCGGAACGUGCCCGAGAGUGGGGGAUAACGAAGCGAAAGCUUUGCUAAUACCGCAUACGAUCUCAGGAUGAAAGCAGGGGACCGCAAGGCCUUGCGCUCACGGAGCGGCCGAUGGCAGAUUAGGUAGUUGGUGGGAUAAAAGCUUACCAAGCCGACGAUCUGUAGCUGGUCUGAGAGGACGACCAGCCACACUGGGACUGAGACACGGCCCAGACUCCUACGGGAGGCAGCAGUGGGGAAUUUUGGACAAUGGGCGCAAGCCUGAUCCAGCCAUGCCGCGUGCAGGAUGAAGGCCUUCGGGUUGUAAACUGCUUUUGUACGGAACGAAAAGACUCUGGUUAAUACCUGGGGCCCAUGACGGUACCGUAAGAAUAAGCACCGGCUAACUACGUGCCAGCAGCCGCGGUAACAC